rnacentral:rRNA from 1 species
GACGAACGCUGGCGGCGUGCUUAACACAUGCAAGUCGAACGGAAAGGCCCUGCUUUUGUGGGGUGCUCGAGUGGCGAACGGGUGAGUAACACGUGAGUAACCUGCCCUUGUCUUUGGGGUAACUUCAGGAAACUGGGGCUAAUAUCGGAUAGGAGCUCCUGCUGCAUGGUGGGGGUUGGAAAGUUUCGGCGGUUGGGGAUGGACUCGCGGCUUAUCAGCUUGUUGGGGGGGUAGUGGCUUACGAAGGCUGUGACGGGUAGCCGGCCUGAGAGGGUGACCGGGCACAAUGGGACUGAGAUACGGCCCAGACUGCUACGGGAGGCAGCAGGGGGGAAUAUUGCACAAUGGGCGGAAGUCUGAUGCAGCAAUGCCGCGUGCGGGAUGACGGCCUUCGGGGUGUAAACCGCUGUCGAAGGUGACGAGGCGGGAGUGACGGUAAUGGGUAAAGAAGCACCGGCUAACUACGUG